UUUGCAACAUCGACCUGCUGAAUUUGGGCAUACAGUUUACCGACCUCUUCCGCGAUCGAUGGAUGCCAGGUGACAGCGCGAUUGACCGCCUGAGAGAGGGUCAGUUCACCGGGCGCGGCGCUGUCGCCGCUUUGCGGCAUCGGGCCAUCAAGCGCGGGCAGUUCCUGCUGUACAACCCACUGCUGCGGGGCGAUGCGGGGCAUUUCCACGGCAGCGAUAGCGGGCGCAGCGCACAGAUUGCCCGCCAGCCACCAGAAAGUAAGCUGUCGUUUUCCCAUUUUCUUCCCUAAUUGAGCGUUGUUUUUUGCCCCGGGCGAGCGUGCGCCCGGGGUCGU
rnacentral:sRNA from 1 species